UACGUAGGUGGCAAGCGUUAUCCGGAAUUAUUGGGCGUAAAGCGCGCGCAGGUGGUUUCUUAAGUCUGAUGUGAAAGCCCACGGCUCAACCGUGGAGGGUCAUUGGAAACUGGGGGACUUGAGUACAGAAGAGGAAAGCGGAAUUCCAAGUGUAGCGGUGAAAUGCGUAGAGAUUUGGAGGAACACCAGUGGCGAAGGCGGCUUUCUGGUCUGUAACUGACGCUGAGGCGCGAAAGCGUGGGGAGCGAACAGG
rnacentral:rRNA from 1 species